GGGCCUGGUGGUUCACGGUCGGACUUCUAAUCCGACGGUCGCAGGUUCGAAUCCUGCCGGGCGCGCCU
rnacentral:tRNA from 1 species